rnacentral:rRNA from 1 species
UUUUCAGUGUCGCAGCGAAAGCCAUAAACACACCGCCUGGGGAGUACGACCGCAAGGUUAAAACUCAAAUGAAUUGACGGGGACCCGCACAAGUAGUGGAGCAUGUGGUUUAAUUCGAAGAUACGCGCAGAACCUUACCAACACUUGACAUGUUCGUCGCGACUUUAAGAGAUUAAAGUUUUCGGUUCGGCCGGACGAAACACAGGUGCUGCAUGGCUGUCGUCAGCUCGUGUCGUGAGAUGUUGGGUUAAGUCCCGCAACGAGCGCAACCCUCACUUUUAGUUGCCAUCAUUAAGUUGGGCACUCUGAAAGAACUGCCAGUGAUAAGCUGGAGGAAGGUGGGGAUGACGUCAAGUCCUCAUGGCCCUUACGUGUUGGGCUACACACGUGCUACAAUGGUAUCUACAACAGGAAGCAAGACGGCGACGUUAAGCAAAUCCUUAAAAGAUACCUCAGUUCGGAUUGCACUCUGCAACUCGAGUGCAUGAAGCUGGAAUUACUAGUAAUCGUGGAUCAGCGUGCCACGGUGAAUGCGUUCCCGGGUCUUGUACACACCGCCCGUCACACCAUGGGAGUUGGUUCUACCUUAAGGCAAGGUUUAAUACCCUUGACCACGGUAUAGUCAGCGACUGGGGUGAAGUCGUAACAAGGUAGCCGUAGGGGAACCUGCGGCUGGAUUACCUCCUU